rnacentral:rRNA from 1 species
AACCUCCGCAAUGGGCGAAAGCCCGACGGGGUUAGUCCGAGUGGCCCCUGCUGAAGGGGCCUUUUGCCAGCUGUAAAAAGGCUGGCGAAUAAGGGGUGGGCAAGUUUGGUGUCAGCCGCCGCGGUAAUACCAGCACCCCGAGUGGUCGGGACGAUUAUUGGGCCUAAAGCAUCCGUAGCCGGCUUAGCAAGUCCUCCGUUAAAUCCAACGGCUUAACCGUUGGGCUGCGGAGGAUACUGCUAAGCUAGGGGGCGGAGAGGCGAGGGGUAUUCCCAGGGUAGGGGUAAAAUCCGUUGAUCCUGGGAGGACCACCAGUGGCGAAGGCGCCUCGCUAGAACGCGCCCGACGGUGAGGGA